CCUACGGGUGGCAGCAGUGAGGAAUAUUGGUCAAUGGACGAGAGUCUGAACCAGCCAAGUAGCGUGAAGGAUGACUGCCCUAUGGGUUGUAAACUUCUUUUAUAAAGGAAUAAAACGAGGCACGUGUGCGUUUUUGCAUGUACUUUAUGAAUAAGGAUCGGCUAACUCCGUGCCAGCAGCCGCGGUAAUACGGAGGAUCCGAGCGUUAUCCGGAUUUAUUGGGUUUAAAGGGAGCGUAGGUGGGUUGUUAAGUCAGUUGUGAAAGUUUGCGGCUCAACCGUAAAAUUGCAAUUGAUACUGGCAGCCUUGAGUGCAGUUGAGGUAGGCGGAAUGCGUGGUGUAGCGGUGAAAUGCUUAGAUAUCACGAAGAACCCCGAUUGCGAAGGCAGCUUACUAAGCUGUGACUGACAUUGAUGCUCGAAAGUGUGGGUAUCAAACAGGAUUAGAUACCCGGGUAGUC
rnacentral:rRNA from 1 species